AUGAGCGGAUUCUGCCGACAAUCGCAACCGUUUAUGCGUUGGGGACGAUUGUAGCCCUUUAUUCUUCGGAGGUGGCCGUAGCCAUUUUUACCGUAGAGAUGGACGUAGCCUUUUGUUCUUUGGAGAUGGCCGUAUCCAUUUUCACAUUAGAGAUGGUCGUAGUCUUUUGUUCUUUGGAGAUUGUCGUAGCCAUUUUUUACUUUAGAAAUGGCCGUAGCCUUUUUUCUU
rnacentral:lncRNA from 1 species